AGCAUCUUGCACUGCUCCUAACUAGCUUAACGUUAGCUUACUGGUCGUCUCAUCAUGCUCAUUUGGUGUGCUGGUGAAAAAGCUGCUCAGUUUUGUACAUUUGGCCCCGUCAGUUUGAAGAGCUUUCUUUUUUUUUUAAUCUUACCUUUUCAACGCCGCCUUUUGCGCUUUCUAUUAUCCAUUUUAGCCUAUAUCCUGCGUCAACAACAAGCACCACUGACUGAAGUUUACAAAUUACAUUUCUUUUUUAGCAAGGUGCCGCUUGUGCCGUCAGGGGAGUCAAAAGAUAAUUACGUCAUCAUUAAACUGCAGGCUGCACUCUUCGAGUGGGCUGCAGAAAAAUAAUAAAUAAAAAGAGUGGGGCUGCAGUAAAAUAGUGCAGGCAGCAUAGGGACAUUAACCAUAUUUCAACCCAGUGCCAUGACAACACCGGCCCUCACGGCCCAAAAAACAGACCGGCCCACCGGGAAUUCUCCCAGUGCUCCCCGUUAGCCAAUCCAGGCCUGCUGUGGAGGGUUAGUGAGCUUCUUUACCAUAGCAAAAAGAGAUUUGGAUCUGCAUGUGCUUUUUUUUUUAUUUAUUAUUAUUAUUAUUUUUUUUUUUAUAAAUUUGCAAAGAUUUCAAACAAACUUCUUUCAUGUUGUCAUUAUGGGGUAUUGUUUGUAGAAUUUUGAGGAAAAUAAUUAAUUUAAUCCAUUUUGGAAUAAGGCUGUAACAUAACUAAAUGUGGGAAAAGUGAAGAACUGUGAAUACUUUCCGGAUGCACUGUAAUAGUGUUAUGGGUGUAAUAGCUGAUGGGUUAACAGAACUGAUUUUAUGAUAGGUGAGCAUUUUUUUAGUAGGCAGUAGAGAAAACUAAAGCUAAAUUUUAAAGGUUUAUGAUCAUUGAAAGCAAAAUCAGAACCAAUAACAGAGACAUUAUAUAAACCAGAUGUACAGAUGAGAUCCAGUAUACGACCCCUGGAGUGAGUGGCAAAAGUAACAUGUUAGAUUAUAUUGAAGCAAUCCAACACAGAUAUUAAUUCAUUGCAAUGCACAGUAUUUUUAUGUAUAUUAAAAUCACCAUGUACAAUUACAGAUGAAUAUCUAGCACAGACAAGAGUGAGUAGUUCUCUAAUCUCAUAGAAAAAAUCAGAGUGACAUCUUGGAGGUUUAUAGAUUAAGAUCACAGCCAUUGAUGUUCGAACAACCAUUUUAAAUGCUAGGUAUUCAAAAGAUGCAACAUCAUGAAACUCAAUUUCUGAUAUUUUAAUAUUCUCACAGCAAACUACAGCCAACCCUACACCUCUACGAUGGGGGCGUGGUUUAGAAAAAUAGAUAUACCUAGGUGGGUUAAGGAGGUUUAAAUUCAGGAUGUCAUUUGGCACCUGCCAAGUCACAGUCAGAAUUUACCACAGAUGCUUUAUCAGUCAAAGAGCAAGUGUUCAGCAGAGCACACCACAGAACAGGAGAAGCAGUUUUGCAGUUGCCAAAGUCAGGAUCGAUGCGUAAUAUCCUCAGAUUUUAGUAGCUGAUCACACAUUUUUCCUGCUGCGAUUUACCAGGAGCACAGGUGUUAGUGCAAAGCACAGGAAUGAUGCUUGGAGAUGUGUAGUGAAGAGACCAAGAUAUGUAGCAGUGGUGGCGUAAAACUCCAAGUUGUUUACAACAGUGGUUCUCAACCAGGGGGCGCAGAGAGAUUGGACGGGGGGCGCAAGAGGUUUUCAAGAAAAAACCCACAGCCAGGCCAUCAUUUGGGUACUCGCUGUAUUUUAUUGCUUUUCAAAUAGAAUGUACAUAAAUGGAAAAACCUCACGUUCCCUCUCCCUCUGCAUUUUCUUUUUGCUGGGAAGAGGAAUACCUUAGCUUGCCUUUUAUAUAGCUGUCAGUGCAGACCAGUGUUGCCAACUUAGCGACUUUUCAGACCGCUUUAGUGCCUUUUUGUUUUUUUUUUUUUUGCAAAAAAGUGCCUAACGACAAAUCUAGCGACUUUGUGGACAAACCUUAGCAACUUUAUAAAUGUUGCCAGUACUGUCCUGCAAGCGUGAGGUCUUGCUUUCCCACUGCACUCACACCUCUCUCUGCAUCUGCUCUGUUCCGUGAGUGGCUGAGAGCCGGAGAUUUAACAUGUCAUGGAUAACGAGACGCGCCCUUCGUCCCAAUUUACAUCAUUCAUAUGCCAAUGUUUUUAGAACGCAAGAUGAAUGGGAUUCAACAUGUUUUACAUGUAAAAUAGUACACAUUAUUACAACCUAGUUCUCUUAUUCAAAGUAGCUAUAGUGUUUAGAAACAUUUUUAAUCAUUCAUGUUCCAUACCUGUCCGUUAUAUAGUUUUAUAAAAGUCAUAAAAGUUAUGAAAAGUAAUUUAAAAAGUACAAAAACACAAAAGCAAGAAAAAUUUCUCUCUCUCUCUCUCUCUCUCCAAAAACAGAUUAGAGAGAGAGAGUGAGAGCGAGAGAGAGAGAGAGAGAGAGAGAGAGAGAUAUUAUAGAAGAGAUAAUUGUUAUACCUGGCUUGGGGGGCCUCUGGUUUACACCAUUGAUAAGUGUCCUUGGCCAAAAAAACUCUCUUUUAAUAGAUCUAAGCUGAGUGGCAGAGUACUGUAGAGCCAUGUCGGGAGAAUAGAUUUGAUUAAAAUUGGCCAAAACCAGUCCAAAAAGGACAGAACUUGAGAGCAAUUACACAGCAGCAUGACCAGUGAUCCAUCGGGAUCCACACAACAACUAAUCGAUAUACCUGUGAUAGCCAGAAAGGUAUCGACUAACAAACAAAAACAAACAAACAGGUACCAGCGUGAAGUAGCAGCACAAGCGUGCAUAGCGUUCUCACACAGGAAAUGGAAACAACCCCAGGAUGCCAGGAUUGGAAUGACCCUUCCCUUCCUUCUAAACCUUACCACAAUUUUUCUUUUCCCUUAAACCGAACCAUAAACCUUCCCUGUCCUCAAAACCUAAUCGUAAUCCUUCUCUUUUCUUCAAACCUAAGCACAACCUUUCCUUACCCUUAACUCUAACCAUAACCCAUCCCUUAACUCCAAGCCUAACCAUAAUCCUUUCCUUCCCCCUAAACCCAACCACAACCUUUCAUGUCCUCUACUCAUAACCAUAACCUUCCCUUCCCUCUAAGCCUAAACAUAACCCUUCCCUUCCCUCUAACCCAACUAUAACCACUUUCCUGCCCCCAUAUAAACCUGUUUUUUAAAAUGUUUUUGUUGUUGUUGUUGUUGUUGUUGAUUUAAUAAAGUUUGUUGCCUUUAUUAAAAGUUUUCUUUAAGAAUUGUUUUUAAGGGGCUGAUGGAAAGACUGAAGGAGGAACUUUUUGGAUGAAGAUCUUGACUGGAAAAGGAGAAGAAAAGAACAGAGGACCUUCUUUUUUGUGGUUUUUCGUUCAAGAGCUUUCAAAAAGGAUUAUUAUUCAAAAGUGACUGAGACGAAGAAAAGAAAAAUCUUUUCAGAUGAGUAAAGGUCUUCUAGGCCUAAAACAUGGAUUUUAAACCACCAGACCCCAUGAGCAUCUAGGAUGGCCUGCGUUUAAGGAGUCUCCAUUUCCUUCAAUGGAAAUUGGUCAUCUACCAGUUCCAAAGAAUCAGAGAAAGAGCUAAGAGACUCUUACACCCUUUUUUCUUCCUCAUUCCCUUCUUUUUCUUUACAGUUACUGACUGCAUAGUGAGGCAAUGCUGUCUUUGAAGAACAGGUUUGCCAUUUUAUCUCAUGAGUUGGAGGGAAUGGAACAUGAUAGACAUAGGAAACACACAUACAUCUUUGUUAGCUAAAGUAGCAUCUAGACAAUACAGUAAACUAUUUUUUUUAUUAGUAAGUUUAAGUUUAUUCAAGUUUCUCAUCACAGUGGUAUUGUGGAGUUAGCAAUUGAGACAGGGACUUUUCCUAAAGGAAUGAGUAAACAGGCUAAUAAGCUAUCACAAUUCAUUAAACCUGCAUGUCCAAGUUCAAUCACUAGUCAGAAAGUUAAAGACAGCAUUCAUCAUUGGAUGAUGACAAACAUGCACAUUUUGAAAUAUCAUUAUAGUGGAGUCUUGAAGGAACUUUUGAAUGCCAAAGUUUUGAAACUGUUGAGUGGGGGAUUGCGGUGAAAUGGGCCAAAGGUAGGUUCAGGCAGAAAUUAAAACAAGACACACUACUUAAAUCUGAGCAACAGUUGAGAAACAGAUUCAAAGCUAUUGAGGAUAAAGAUGUUGCAUGCUUGCCUUUUCUCCAAAUACUGGUGAUCUUAAUGAUACAAUGCCUACUUUAGUCUGCCCACAAGCCCCACAAUUUCCUGUGUCCCCUGUUGGGAAUAAUUUGAUGUUUCAGGAGGGAGUCAGUUUCUCCAAGACCAAAACUGUUGUUCAUCAUGAACCUAACUUGGUACAACACAAAAUUGUUUCAGUUCAGAAUAAUGGUAAGAGUAAAAACAUUCAGAAUAUAACCUUGCCUGAAACAUUUAAUGAUAUUUCUCCUGUGUCUUCAGAGCCUGCACAGAGGGAUGAACAGGGGUGGGUGUUGUGAGGAAUCAGGGGAAAAAGAGUGAUGAAUAGCUUUCUUGAAGGGCAGAGUCACAACAUCUUACGAACCUGGUCUGAAUCUUCUCUCUCUCCUUCCUGCGUUUUCCUCUUUCCCCACUUAGCAGGUGUAUGACUAUAGACUCUAAAACUCAAAGAGCAUCACUGCAUGAUAUUAUAGGUUCUAAUAAUGCAUGUUACAUUAUUGUUAUAAUAUUAUAGUUCACACACACACACACACACACACACACACACACACACACACACACACAGUUCCACCCAAACGCAGAUUUGCUUUAAUCAAGGUUAUAUGUAAAGUAGGACAAACGGACAGAGAUGUUUGAAUUAGGUGACCUGCGUUGUGUCAACAGUCCAGACUGGUACAGGUGGUCUAAUGGUGUGGGGAAUAUUUUUUUUUUGGCAAACUUUGGCCUGUUAAUACCAAUAAAUCAUGGCUUGAAUGCCACAGCCUAUUUGAGUAUUGUUACUGACCAUGUGCAUCCCUUCAUGGCCACAAGUUAACCAGCUUCUAAUGGCUACUUCCAGCAUGAUAAUGCACCAUGUCACAAAGCAAAAUUGGUCUCAAACUGGUUUCAUGAACAUGACAAUGUGUUCUGUGUUCUUCAGUGGCUUUCCCAUUCCCUGGUUCUAAAUCCAAUAGAACACCAUUGAGAUUUUCAGGAUGAAAGCGCACCUGAAAAAUCUGCAGGAACUGCAUGAUGCAAUCAUGUCAACAUGGACCAGAAUCUCAAACGAAUGUUUCCAUCAUCUGGUGGAAUCCAUGUCAUGAAGAAUUUAGGCUGUUUUGAGAACAAAUGGAGGCCUUAUCCAGUAUUAGUAUAGUGUUCCUAAAAAAGUGCUCAGUGAGUGUAUUAACCCCAAAGUUAAUUACUUAGUCUAUUCGUUGAUUAAUAUAAACACACUGCAGAGAGUUUGAGUCUGUGUUCUAUUUCAACUCUUCUAACCUACCAAGGGCAGAGUCUAACAUCGGGAUAUCCUCGUGUGUGUGUGUGUGUGUGUGUGUGUGAACCAUGCUGAGACCUUCAACAAUGUCAAGGUGACCGUGAUGCGGCAUUUGUUAUAAAUACCUUCUCAUUAUGUCUCUCUGAUCCAUUUACUCUACUGACCUUGUACCAUGCUGGACCUCCUGUGUAUCAUGGAUCUAUGUGACCUGUCCUCUAAAGCUGGUGACAGACUCUUGUCAUCACGUCGUGGCUGCGAUGAUGCAACAGAAGAUUCACAUAGACCUUUCACACAGUCCAUGUGUCUGUCUGCAUCUCUCUGUGCUCUGACUGGAAAAGGAAAAUGUAAUUCUGUUAUAUAGUACACCUUUCAUCUAAUAUAGUUCAAUAAUCAUCUGCUGAAUUCUAACAGAGAUGUCAGUGUAAUGAAAGGACACAUACAUAACCAAGGACAUUAAAUGUCAUGCCCCAAGGGUGUGCAAACCUUUUCAUUUAAACCAGUCUGUCGGUCACUGUGAUUUGUUUUAUUCAGAGUUUAUGUAAAGUAGGACAAAAGGGACAAAGUGGUUUGCAUAAGCCUUUUUGCCUGAAGGAUGAUAAAUAAGAAGGUGAGUUUAUCACCAAAUGGAAAAAAAAGGUCUCUGAAGGUCACAGGGACAAAAUAAAAACAGAACAUUGAUAGUUUACCUCCAGAUUUCAGCUCUCAUCUAAUACACUACUCCAAGACUCAAGCUAUUAAUACUUACUAAGGAGAAAUGUUUACUGAAAAGGUACAAAAGAGCCACAAGUUAGACAAUAAAAGAUUUAGAAUAUUUCACAUUAGCAUUGUUAAUGUUAAAGUUACAGAAUUAGGGUUGUGCAGUUUUUGUAACAAAUACCUUCUCAUCAUGUCUCUCUGCUCCUUUUACUCUAUUUGCUUAAUACCAUGUCAGACCUCCUGGACCUACCUUUCUAACUUAUCAUCACAACUUCUCUAUCUGUGAGUUAGCUAUGAACUAUUCUGUUGCUCAGUAGAGUGCUCACCUCUCAGUCUGCUAACGAGUGGUUUCUUUCACCAUCUGGCGACCCACAGAGCUAUGAACAUGUGCAGUUAGCAUGGUCUAGUGGUUCUCCCCACCAUACCACACGCCACUCCACUGAGAAGCAACACUACAGGAAAUAAACUGUCCAAGCUGGUGGCUGGGGUUUAUCUACUCCCUGACUGCAACAGGCUGCUCUCUGUGACAGUAAACACCACAAGCAGCUGAACUCCAACACAUGAUGUUAGGAGUGCAUCUUCCAAAUGCAUUUACUGACAAUUUUUAAAUUUAUAAAACACAAAAAUAUUUGUGCUUUCAUUUUAUUCAUUUGUACUUCUUUUUUAUUUAUUAAAGAUUUAUUCUUGUCCUUUCGCCAGUUUUGGAGGGAUGUCCUGUUCGUGGAAAUGUCUUUAUGGUGCCCACUUUCCUCCACUUCUUGACAACGACUUUAAUGAGGUUCCAUGGUACAUUUAAUGUUUUGGAAAUGUUGUACAUGCUUUGUAAGCUCUUUGUGGACCAUGGCUUCAGCAGUUGGAUGGAACCAAGAUGACAUCAAGAAAAUCCUACAGAAACAGCUGAUCUUUACUUGGGUUUAUUCAGAAUCACUUUGAUGACAGAUGUAUGAUAAUUACUGUUGAAAAUGAGUUAAAGUGUGAUUGGUUAAUUCUGAGCACAGUCACAUGACACAUUAUAAAAGUUAAACUUAUGCAGAGUAUUGUAAGUUUUUUCUUUUUUUCUAAAACAUUUAAAUUUGCUUUUCACUUCAAUUUUGUUGGUUGCUAUAUCACAUUCAAGUUGGGAAAAGAUCUCACAUUUGAUCAGAUUUAUCUUGGUUUCAUUGGUUUACAUUACAAAAAAUGGUUGAUUAAUAGCACAAUACUGUGAUAAACAUGAUGUUUUAGACUGGAUUAUCAUAAUGUGAACAUUUCAAACUGUAACACCUCUACUUUACUUAAUGAAAUGGCCCACAGGAAAGACAGGUGAAGCAGUUUCUGUUUAAAAUCAGCAGCUUAGUGUGUCAGAUAUGGGUCAAAAAUAUCUGAAAAACAUUUUCUACAAUAAAAAUAUUUAAUGUAAAAAGCUCAAUGUUAAUUCUGAACCUGCUGAACAUAGAGAUGUCACUUUUCAUUACAUUAAAACAAUAAAUAAUUAUGACCAUCAA